ensembl:lncRNA
AGACACUGGGGCAACAAGAGGCUGUUUGAAGGAAGCAGUCAUGAGGCAUAGUUGCAUCCAUCCGUUCUUCCCCCAUGUCGGACACUUCCUUUGGGUGUGGGUGGCAGGGGGUGGUAAAAAUGGUCUCAGAGCUCUCAGGGAUAUGAAUCCAAGCUCUCUGGAGAUGUCUAGAGCUGACCGGUUUGGUUUUUGUUUGCACAAUCCAUUGAGAAGAGUUUGAGCAUUUGUGUCCUCCUAGCCUGGCUUGGGGAAAUUAGAUACUUUAACAGAUGACCGGGGAACAAUCAGUUAUCCUGCACCCAUGUUUUCCAUAAAACACCCCCCACAAACACCUUAUUGAGCAACAAGGAUUCUGAUGGAAAAAAAAAAUCAAGGUGCAGAGAAACAUCACCACUGUACAAGGUCACUGUACCCCCAGCCUUCCCGGAGAGAAAGGAAGACACUCAUAGUGAGUAUUUUCACUCAGCGUGUCUUGGGAAACCUCAAGACUGGCGUGGGCUCAGCAAGGGAAGUUCCAAACACAGGGUUUUUUUUGGUGUGUUUUUCUUCUUUUCAAAGAAAACCAGAUCUACGGACUGAGUAAUGAAGCCUUGGGCCUCAAAACAUAUCACCUCCCAGGAAAGCCCCUUACACUUGGGCAGAAUUAUUUACCUGUGGUCCUUUACCAGAACUUGAAGCCGCUGAACUCCUCUAAUCAGUAACUUCACAGGAACGGUUGGCCCUGGACCAGCUCUUGAUCUAAUACUGACAAACAACCAGGUUUUUCAAGGAGACAUGAAAGCAAAAUAAAACACACACAAGUUUAGCACAGACACGCUCCUCUUGUAGAAGCCUCCCUCACAGAGUGAUACCACAUGGUACCUUCCCCUCAUGUGGAGCAAUCACCUCACAUAGGGACAUCGUAUGGUACCUUCUCCUCGUGCGGAGCAAUCACCUUAUAUAAGGAUAUUCCCUUCAAUAGUAUCCUCUCCUCAGGAGGGGCUCCCCUCUCCUCCAGCACUCUCACCUCACAUAGCCUUUGCCCUUACAUAGAGCCCUCUCCUCAUAUUGUAUCCUCCCUCUUUCCUCACAGGAUGUCCUCCCCUCAGAGGGUGGCCUCUAUUCGUACUGUGUCCUCUCCUCACAAGGUUUCCUCCUCAGGGAACUCCCUUCGCAGUGUGCCACCCUGCACAUGGUGCCCUCGGCUACAGCGGGGCACUCCCCUUCAAGGGGUUAUCGCCUUCAAGAUAAAAUCAUUCUACAGAGGCCCCAGUCAAAUUUAGACAUUGAGAACUCUCAUGUUGUACUUUUCGAUAAUAGAUUUGUGAAGGAAAGAGGCCAGAGUCAUUCUUUGAUAGGCCGUGUAAUUUUUUUUUUUU